AAAAAACCUCUUCAUAUGUGUACUUGUAAUCUCUGAAAAUGUUUAGUAUAUGAUAUAACAUUUUUUUAAAAAGUCAUAAAUAAAUGAGUUGCAAUUCCUAAGAAUAAUUAUUCACUUUGGAUAUGCAGCUAAAUGAAAAACAGUAUGUCAGCAAAACUUGCUGUUAUGGCGUGCUGAGUUGACUAUAGUGGAAGAUUGCCCUGAUUUUAUGUAUUUACUAUUCAUAACUUAAUUUUAGCACUUUCAAACCGAAGUAUUUCAGUAGAUUUACUGUUGAUACUAGACUUGGAGAAUGUUAUUUCUGUCUCUUUUUCUGUUUCCUUUUGCAUUUACAGUUAUGUGCAUAUGUUCAUGUGUGUACAAACAUACCCCUGCACUCACUGAGUCUUUGGAGCUUCCAGGGAAUAAAACGAUGAGAUAUAUGUUGUGUCGUGUCUCUGAGCAGAUGAUGGAAAAGUUCAAGAUGACUUGUAGUGAUCUAACUGUCCAUCUUCACCCUGGUUGAUUAGUUUGUUGGCUUCAGCAAGCAGACCUCUUACUAUUCUUACUAUUCAUGGAGUCUUCUGAGGUGAUGACUGAACAUUUUGACAGCGUAGUUUCAAGAGGCUGAUUUUUUUCUUUUUUUUUUGUUAAUGAUAUCAUUAUAUAUUGGACAUAUACACUAUGGUUAAUAUCCAAGACUUCACAGCAUUUUUCAUACACUGAAAUGGUAUAAUGGUUUUGUGAUUUUUGUUAUAUGUAUUUGACUUCAUAAUAUCAUGUAGAACACUGGGAGUUAUGUGCUGAACCAGCUCAUAAACUGAUGACAAAUAGUAAAGCUGAAAGUACUACACAUGCAUCUCUGUCAUGGUUUUGUGAUUUUUGGUUCUUGGUAUUCCACAUCAUAACAUCAUGUGGGGCACUGGGAGUUUAACUGUUAAUGCUCAAGUUCUGGGUACCUGCCCGGAAGAGAAGAAGAACUACAUUCCCCAGAGGACUUUGUGGUCAUAGAGAGAAGAUAUAACUUCAGGCAAGGUCACCUGAUGUGCUCUUUUUUUGUCUGCUCUUCUUUGUCGGCUCUCUUCUUUCGUCUCGCUGCUGCUCAACUGAACUGCGCAUCUCACCUCAGCAUUAUGGUGAGGCCUAUCCACCUUAUGUUAGAAUAUGUUAGAUUUAUUAGCUUCAAUUCUGAUUAUAUUGUAUGAUGGUGUGUUAUCUUGCAUUCUGAUACUAUAUUUAGUAAAUUAGUUUGUUUCUCCUCA